rnacentral:rRNA from 1 species
GACCUCAAAUCAGGUAAGAAUACCCGCUGAACUUAAGCAUAUCAAUAAGCGGAGGAAAAGAAAAUAACAAUGAUUCCCUCAGUAACGGCGAGCGAAGAGGGAUAAGCUCAAAUUUUAAAUCUGUUGGGUUCCGCUUAACAGAGUUGUAUUUUGAAGAAACGUUUUCUGCAUCCAGGAUUAGCCUAAAUCCUUUGGGAUAAGGUAUCAUGGAGGGUGAGAAUCCCGUUCAUGGUUAAUCUUAAGGAAGCUCUACGAUACGUUUUCCAAGAGUCGAGUUGUUUGGGAUUGCAGCUCAAAAUGGGAGGUAAAUUUCUCCUAAGGCUAAAUAUUGGCGAGAGACCGAUAGCGAACAAGUACCGUGAGGGAAAGAUGAAAAGAACUUUGAAAAGAGAGUUAAACAGUACGUGAAAUUGUUGAAAGGGAAACGAUUGAAGUCAGUCAUACCAAUGGGAAAUCAACCUUUUGAGCUUGGUUUCGUGGGUUUUGAAGAGUUUCAAAGCCUUCGGAUUCGCGAGAUUGGGAUCUCUCGGUGUACUUUCUCGUACGGUUAGUCAACAUCGGUUUUGAAUGUCAUAAAAUGACUGGAGGAAUGUAGCUUCGAUCUCGUAUUGAAGUGUUAUAGCCUUUGGUAGAUGUGAUGUUUGAGACCGAGGAUUGCAACGGAUACCCUUCAGGGCUAUUCGUCUGAUCUCUGAUACGUUGCCUUGAUGUUGAAAGCUUGCUUAUGAUGUUAGGGUAUUACGGUCAAAAGGUUAGAACGAAUUACAUUCGUUAAGGAUGUUGACGUAAUGACUUUAAACGACCCGUCUUGAAACACGGACCAAGGAGUCUAACAUAUAUGCGAGUGUUUGGGUGAUUAAACCCUUGCGCGUAAUGAAAGUAAUUUUGGUGAGAUCCGGGAAAAAAUUUUCGGAGCAUCAUCGACCGAUCAGGAUAUUU